CAUUAUACAAGAAAAUCUCCUUUACAUUAAUAAAGUAAGAGACAGAAGUUUUUAAUUUACAUUUUUCCUUUUAGCAAAGAUUUUUUUCUAUUUUUAUUAAUUUUUAAUGAAAAAUAAUAAAUACACUUCUUACAAACAAUUGAAACAUUAGAAAAGGAUAUCCAGUGGGAAGUAGGUCCACAUCUCUCAGAAGUGUUCCAGGCACAUACAAACAUGUGUUUUAUAUCAAUUUAUAGCUCCAUCUUUGCACAUCAUCUUAUUCUCUGCUUUUUUUCACAGGUGCCAUGUAUUCUUCCGUACCCUGAUGUUUUUCACUUAAGUAAUUUUGGAGGUUUCCCCAGAACAGUACAUGUAGAUCAAGCUCAUUUUCAAUGCUGCAUGGUAUUCCAGGAUGGAGAUCUGGGGAGACAGAGUGGUAAGAAGAAUGGAAGAUCUUUCCUGAUUGAUAUUAUUGUGGUCAGUCUUCUCCAGACUCAGCAGAUAUUUUAAGGCACUUCAGCUGAGUCCUGUGCAUGCUAAGGUCUGAGAACUCUGACCUUAAGGGAAGGAGAGGCUGGGAAGCCUUAGAAGGGACCCUGUAACAUUGCUAAGGAAGAUGGUUAUUGGAGAAUGACUGUGGAUUCUUAUGGAAUCAUUCAGGUACCGGACCAGAUGUAGCCUCUUUACUGGAUAACACAACAGUGCUUCUGGUGCUUUGAAGGCAACCAUUGAUCUGGCGGUUGCUUUUUUUCCUCAACACCAAAUUAGCAAAGAUCCCCAGGUGGAGUUUGCUCCCAAUUAGCAGGAUCAGCAAAACACCCUCCCUGUCUUACCUCAGACCUCUGUGACUCUUCCGCUGUCUGACAACAUCCAGUCUGCAGGGGCCUGGAUCAUCUUGAUAUUCCCCGGAACACCAUGCUAAUAUAUUACAUUAUUGACACGGUGAGCAGGAAGCAGCACAUACUCUCCAUGCCUUAAUAAGACAUAUGUAGGCCAGAGGGUGGGAGAGAAACGCCAAGAAAAGUCAAAGGCCUACUACCUCAGUGAAGUUUCUAAGGGGUCCAGGGGUCUGAGAAAUGUGGGCAUUUCCUCUCCAAAUAGAAGGGCAAAUUGCUAUACUUUGUAUCACCUACCACUGAGAAAGAGCUACAGUGUUCUAUAUCUCUUGAUUUUUGAGAUAACAUAGCCUCUUUCUGAGGGUAUUGUUCAAAGCAACAUUUGAGUGAUCCACAAAGCUGCCGAGUUUUGUGUGGGGACCAGAGCAGAAAAAGCCUCCCUAGCAGCGUUUCUCAGCAUCAGCAGUGCUGACAUUUGGGGGACAAAUAAUUCUUCAAUGUGGGAGGCUAUCUGUGAAUGGUAGGAUGUUGUUUAGCAGCAUCCCUGGCCUCUACGUCCGGUUGUGACAUCCAGAAAUCUCUACAGACAUCGCCAGAUAUCCCAGGGGGAGCAAAACUGCUGUCACUUGAGAAUCCCUGGCCUACAGCAUGUCUAGCAAUACACUGAUCUACCAAGCCAUACGGUUGGCGUACACAGCAGCAAUUGUCCAGUGUAGGCAGUGUACACCAGACUGGAGUUGAGCAGGUCCUGAAUGUGCAGUUGUGAAGCAGAGGAAGGUGCUAUUAGAAGUACCAGGUCUGACAUCAACACGAAUUGGUUUUACCUCUUGCUGGAAAGUAGCUGAUCCAUCAAUAAGGAUCCCAUCCUCUUUCAAAAAUGAAUCGUUUAAUCAUGUCAAAAGAUCUCAAAGGCUGAUCAUAGGGCAAAAUGUGGCCUCCACCUCGAACAAUUACCUUAAAGAAGAAAAACAGAAGAAAAACUGAAAUCUAGAGAAUCGGAUAUUCCAGAUAAAUGGCAAGUUUUAAUUUGGAUUUAAGUAUUCUUAAAGCUUACAUGAAAU